rnacentral:rRNA from 2 species
AGACCCGAAACCCGGUGAUCUAGCCAUGGGCAGGUUGAAGGUUGGGUAACACUAACUGGAGGACCGAACCGACUAAUGUUGAAAAAUUAGCGGAUGACCUGUGGCUGGGGGUGAAAGGCCAAUCAAACCGGGAGAUAGCUGGUUCUCCCCGAAAGCUAUUUAGGUAGCGCCUCGUGAACUCAUCUCCGGGGGUAGAGCACUGUUUCGGCUAGGGGGCCAUCCCGGCUUACCAACCCGAUGCAAACUGCGAAUACCGGAGAAUGUUAUCACGGGAGACACACGGCGGGUGCUAACGUCCGUCGUGAAGAGGGAAACAACCCAGACCGCCAGCUAAGGUCCCAAAGUCAUGGUUAAGUGGGAAACGAUGUGGGAAGGCCCAGACAGCCAGGAUGUUGGCUUAGAAGCAGCCAUCAUUUAAAGAAAGCGUAAUAGCUCACUGGUCGAGUCGGCCUGCGCGGAAGAUGUAACGGGGCUAAACCAUGCACCGAAGCUGCGGCAGCGACACUUUAGUGUUGUUGGGUAGGGGAGCGUUCUGUAAGCCGUUGAAGGUGUCCUGUGAGGGGUGCUGGAGGUAUCAGAAGUGCGAAUGCUGACAUAAGUAACGAUAAAGCGGGUGAAAAGCCCGCUCGCCGGAAGACCAAGGGUUCCUGUCCAACGUUAAUCGGGGCAGGGUGAGUCGACCCCUAAGGCGAGGCCGAAAGGCGUAGUCGAUGGGAAACGGGUUAAUAUUCCCGUACUUGGUGUUACUGCGAAGGGGGGACGGAGAAGGCUAUGUUGGCCGGGCGACGGUAGUCCCGGUUUAAGCGUGUAGGUGUGUGUUCCAGGCAAAUCCGGUUCACUUUAACACUGAGGCGUGAUGACGAGGCACCACGGUGCUGAAGCAACAAAUGCCCUGCUUCCAGGAAAAGCCUCUAAGCAUCAGGUAACAUCAAAUCGUACCCCAAACCGACACAGGUGGUCAGGUAGAGAAUACCAAGGCGCUUGAGAGAACUCGGGUGAAGGAACUAGGCAAAAUGGUGCCGUAACUUCGGGAGAAGGCACGCUGACACGUAGGUGAAGUGAUUUACUCACGGAGCUGAAGUCAGUCGAAGAUACCAGCUGGCUGCAACUGUUUAUUAAAAACACAGCACUGUGCAAACACGAAAGUGGACGUAUACGGUGUGACGCCUGCCCGGUGCCGGAAGGUUAAUUGAUGGGGUCAGCGCAAGCGAAGCUCCUGAUCGAAGCCCCGGUAAACGGCGGCCGUAACUAUAACGGUCCUAAGGUAGCGAAAUUCCUUGUCGGGUAAGUUCCGACCUGCACGAAUGGCGUAAUGAUGGCCAGGCUGUCUCCACCCGAGACUCAGUGAAAUUGAACUCGCUGUGAAGAUGCAGUGUACCCGCGGCAAGACGGAAAGACCCCGUGAACCUUUACUAUAGCUUGACACUGAACAUUGAGCCUUGAUGUGUAGGAUAGGUGGGAGGCUUUGAAGCGUGGACGCCAGUCUGCGUGGAGCCGACCUUGAAAUACCACCCUUUAAUGUUUGAUGUUCUAACGUGGACCCGUAAUCCGGGUUGCGGACAGUGUCUGGUGGGUAGUUUGACUGGGGCGGUCUCCUCCUAAAGAGUAACGGAGGAGCACGAAGGUUGGCUAAUCCUGGUCGGACAUCAGGAGGUUAGUGCAAUGGCAUAAGCCAGCUUGACUGCGAGCGUGACGGCGCGAGCAGGUGCGAAAGCAGGUCAUAGUGAUCCGGUGGUUCUGAAUGGAAGGGCCAUCGCUCAACGGAUAAAAGGUACUCCGGGGAUAACAGGCUGAUACCGCCCAAGAGUUCAUAUCGACGGCGGUGUUUGGCACCUCGAUGUCGGCUCAUCACAUCCUGGGGCUGAAGUAGGUCCCAAGGGUAUGGCUGUUCGCCAUUUAAAGUGGUACGCGAGCUGGGUUUAGAACGUCGUGAGACAGUUCGGUCC